GGUGGAAGCGUGGCGACAUGUGGAGCUGACUGAUACUAAUCGAUCGAGGACUUAACCAAG
rnacentral:rRNA from 1 species